rnacentral:miRNA from 1 species
GACCCUCCCUCCCAGACCCUCCUACUUCCUGGACAGCUUCAACAUGGAUGCUGUCCAGGAAGUAGGAGGGUCUGGGAGGGAGGGUC